rnacentral:lncRNA from 1 species
AAAAUCAAAGCAUUGGAAUGUGUCCAUGAAUGAAGAGGUAUUGUGGAGCCCACGUGAGGGAGCAUUUAAUCUGAAGCUUGAGUUGGUGUAGCACACGUUGCAACACGGUGGUGAUUUAAUUAGGAAAGGCCGUAAGCACUCAUUGAUGAUUGAAUGCAUUCAAUUCCUUUUCAAUUUGGAUAAAGGCAUAUGUCACGUCCUGGUAUUUGGAUAAACUUGUUUUUUUUUUUUCUUUUAUUUUAAAGUAGUUUAGGAUUUAGAUAAACUUUAAUUUUUUAUUUUAUUUUCUUUUAUUUUAAAUUAGUUUGAAUUGUAGGUUGAGUUUUUAUUUUUAUUUCAUUUUAUUUUUUU